CCCCGGGGCCGAUCCAGUUCAGGGAGGUCAGAAAGGCAGCUCGGAACGCGCCCAACCGGGACUGGAAACGUGUGAAACUCUCGGUUCAGCCCGAUUCCGCCUCGUCCAGGCAGCUUGUCUUGGGGGCACCCUAACCUCUCCGAACCUCAGUUUCCCCAUCUUGGGGUCACUGAAGCCGGAAGUUGUAGAAGCACCUAGGAAGCUACGGGGUCCUGCAUCCGGACCAGUUUCCGGCUUUGCGCUCCCCCGUCCGGCGAAUAACCCGGGUGUUUGCAGAAUUAAUGAGUUGCACAGGAGGCUCAGCGCGGGGGCCCUGACUUGGAGAGCCCGGGUGCAGCGACAGGGACCCAGUCCUGAAGCGCAGGGCGCACCGCCUGGGAUUAGAGGUCGACACUGGCCUUCUCCCAGGCUGCCAAGUCGUUUGAAGGCUGCACAAACAUUCUUCCUCUCUCGCGUCCCCGGGAAUCAGGGUCUACACCCGCGAGGGCAGGCGGAGGCGGUUACCCCGAGAGUUCCGCUUCAGCAGACGCCUUCCGAUUGAUGGUUGAAUUCGGCCAGUUCGCCACUUGAGACCUGCCCGUUUCUGGAUUUUAAUGGCCUUUUUUCCCAGGCAGAGGUGAAAGAAACCCGGGAAGCCUCCUGGAAAUCCCAUUGACUUGGCAGAAAGAAGAGCUGGACGAUGACUAGAAGGUUCCAGAAGACAUCAUGGGGAGACAUCUCAGGAAGGAAAAGUGAAUUAUCCACAGGAAUUCAGGGGCGGUGCUCCCCAUCGAAGGCUGGCAUCAGGAAAGACUCUGAGGUCAGAUCCAGACACGGGAUUGGAGGUGCUGAUAAACUCUGCUGCGGCACAGAC
ensembl:lncRNA